rnacentral:rRNA from 1 species
AGAGUUUGAUCCUGGCUCAGGACGAACGCUGGCGGCGUGCUUAACACAUGCAAGUCGAACGGAAAGGCCCUUCGGGGUACUCGAGUGGCGAACGGGUGAGUAACACGUGGGUGAUCUGCCCUGCACUUUGGGAUAAGCCUGGGAAACUGGGUCUAAUACCGAAUAUGACCAUGCGCCUACUGGUGUGUGGUGGAAAGCUUUUGCGGUGUGGGAUGGGCCCGCGGCCUAUCAGCUUGUUGGUGGGGUAAUGGCCUACCAAGGCGACGACGGGUAGCCGGCCUGAGAGGGUGACCGGCCACACUGGGACUGAGAUACGGCCCAGACUCCUACGGGAGGCAGCAGUGGGGAAUAUUGCACAAUGGGCGCAAGCCUGAUGCAGCGACGCCGCGUGAGGGAUGACGGCCUUCGGGUUGUAAACCUCUUUCAGCACAGACGAAGCGCAAGUGACGGUAUGUGCAGAAGAAGGACCGGCCAACUACGUGCCAGCAGCCGCGGUAAUACGUAGGGUCCGAGCGUUGUCCGGAAUUACUGGGCGUAAAGAGCUCGUAGGUGGUUUGUCGCGUUGUUCGUGAAAACUCACAGCUUAACUGUGGGCGUGCGGGCGAUACGGGCAGACUUGAGUACUGCAGGGGAGACUGGAAUUCCUGGUGUAGCGGUGGAAUGCGCAGAUAUCAGGAGGAACACCGGUGGCGAAGGCGGGUCUCUGGGCAGUAACUGACGCUGAGGAGCGAAAGCGUGGGGAGCGAACAGGAUUAGAUACCCUGGUAGUCC